rnacentral:tRNA from 1 species
ACCUGGGUGGCUCAGUCGGUUGAGCGUCCGACUCUUGAUUUUGGCUCAGAUCAUUAUCCCAGGGUCGUGGGAUCAAGCCCCACCUUGGGCU